UAUAUAUCUUUCUUGUCUCGUCCUAAUGUUCUUACUCUGAAAUGGUGUGAUGACAUGCAUAUAUAUCAUCUGCAUAGUGUCAUGCUUGGUGUUGGAGAUAGGAGCUUUUAAUUUAAAAUGGUGAUGAAGGCACAAUUCAGGCUCAUGUUUGUGAGCACUAUCCUAUUGUCUUGUGCGAGAUGUGGCAUAUAUAUUUUCAUCAGAAAAUGUUUGCUUGGCUGAGCAGAGCUUUUAGGUGUCGGUUUAUUGGAGAUGCAUGUCUGGUCGACGACAUACCUAAACAAACACAUUGCUGUGUUGUGGCCUGGUAGGUAAUUAGGCCAGCCUAACAACUUCAACUACGAGCGCUGGUGGCGCCACGUCGGCAAAAGCGUACUGGCU
rnacentral:lncRNA from 1 species